GACGAACGCUGGCGGCGUGCUUAACACAUGCAAGUCGAACGGACAGGCCCUGCUCUUGUUGCUUUCUCGAUUGCCGCACGCGUGAGUAACACGUGAGUAACCUGCACUUGUCUUUCUGAUAUCUUCACGAGACUCCGGCUCUUACCCGAUAUGAGCUCCUGCUCCAUGUUGUUCGUUGGUAAAUUUCGGCGGUUGUGGAUGGUCUCGCUGCUUAUCAGCUUCUUUGUGUGGUAGUUGCUUACCAGGGCUUUGACGGAUAGCCGGCCUGAGAGGGUUACCGGCGACAAUGGGACUGCGAGACGGACCAGAAGGCUACGGGAGGCAGCAGGGGGGAGUAUUGCAGAAUGGGGGGAAGCCUGAUGUAGCAACGCCGCGAGCGGGAUGACGGGCUUCGGGUUGUAAACAGAUUUGGCAUGUGACGAAGCGUGAGUGACGGUAAUGGGUAAAGAAGCACCGGCUAACUACGUG
rnacentral:rRNA from 1 species